UACGUAGGAUGCUAGCGUUGUCCGGAUUUACUGGGCGUAAAGCGCGCGCAGGCGGCCCUGUAAGUAAGGUGUGAAAUAUCCCUGCUCAACGGGGAGGGUGCACUUUAGACUGCAGAGCUAGAGGACGGUAGAGGGGGGUGGAAUUGCUGGUGUAGCGGUGAAAUGCGUAGAGAUCAGCAGGAACACCCGUGGCGAAGGCGGCCCCCUGGGCCGAACCUGACGCUGAGGCGCGAAGGCUAGGGGAGCGAACGGG
rnacentral:rRNA from 1 species